rnacentral:tmRNA from 1 species
CAAACGCUCUCUGCAAACCAAUAAGUGCCGAAUCCAAGCGCACUGACUUCGCUCUCGCUGCCUGAUCAGUGAUCGAGUCCGUCACCCCGAGGUCGC